UUAUAUUUUAUUUAUUAAUUAAUUUUUUUUUUAAAAUAAAUUAUUAAAAAUAAUUAUUUAAGGAUUUGUUUUAGUAUUUUAUAAAGAAAAAAUAAUUUUAAUUAUAGUUAAAUAGUAUUGUGAAAGAAAAUUGAAAUAAAUUGAAAAAUUAAUAUUUUAAAAGAAAAUUUAAUUUAUUGUACCUUGUGUAUCAGGGUUUAUUAAUUAAAAAUUAUUUAUUGUAAUUUUCUCGAUUUUAAAAGAGUUAAUAUAUUAUAAAAGUUAAUGUGACAAAAUUAUUUUGUAUAAUAUAUUAGAAAUGAAAUGUUAUUCGUUUUUAAAGGUAUCUAGUUCUUUAAGAAAUAAAUUUAAUUUAGAAAUAUUAUAUUAUUUAAUUAAAUGAAUUAAUUAGAUAAUUAUUUUAUUUUAAUAUUUUAUGGGAUAAGCUAUGAAAUAAAUUAUUAAAAAUUAUUAGAUAAGUUAAUAAAUAUAAGCUUAGAAAUAGUUAUUAUUAGUGAAAGUGUUAUAAUUUAUUUUAUAAUAUUUAUUAUUUAUUAAAUUUUAAUUAUGUAUUAAAGUAUUUAUUUUAAUUUUAAAAAUAAAAAAAUAAUGAUAAAAUUAGUAUAUUGUAUUGUAUAAAUAUAAUUAUUUGAUAAGUUUUUAUAAAGAACUCGGCAAAAAUAAUGUUCGCCUGUUUAACAAAAACAUGUCUUUUUGAAUUUUUUUAAAAGUCUAGCCUGCCCACUGAAUAAUUUAAAUGGCCGCAGUAUACUAACUGUGCAAAGGUAGCAUAAUCAUUAGUCUUUUAAUUGAAGGCUGGUAUGAAUGGUUGGACGAGAUAUUAACUGUUUCAUAAAAAUUUAUAAUAGAAUUUUAUUUUUUAGUCAAAAAGCUAAAAUAUAAUUAAAAGACGAGAAGACCCUAUAAAUCUUUAUAUAUAUAGAUUAUUGGAAUUUUGUAGAUUUUUUUUAUUACAAUAAUUGAUUAUAUUUUAUUGGGGUGAUAUUAAAAUUUAAUAAACUUUUAAUUUUAAAAAUCAUUAAUUUAUGAAUGGUUGAUCCGUUAAUAACGAUUAAAAAAAUAAGUUACUUUAGGGAUAACAGCGUAAUUUUUUUGGAGAGUUCAUAUCGAUAAAAAAGAUUGCGACCUCGAUGUUGGAUUAAGAUAUAAUUUUAGGUGUAGCCGCUUAAAUUUUAAGUCUGUUCGACUUUUAAAUUCUUACAUGAUCUGAGUUCAAACCGGCGUAAGCCAGGUUGGUUUCUAUCUUUAAAAUAUUAAAAUAUUUCAGUACGAAAGGACCUAAUAUUUAAUAAAUAAUUAUUUUUAUAUUGAAUAUAAUUAAUUUAU
rnacentral:rRNA from 1 species